rnacentral:misc_RNA from 1 species
GAUGAAGAACGUAGCGAAACGCGAUAAGUAAUGUGAAUUGCAGAAUCCAGUGAAUCAUCGAAUCUUUGAACGCACAUUGCGCCCAUUAGCAUUCUAGUGGGCAUGCCUGUUCGAGCGUCAUUUCAACCCUUAAGCCCUGUUGCUUAGCGUUGGGAGCCUACAGUACUUUAGCUCCCCAAAGUUAGUGGCGGAGUCGGUUUCACACUCUAGACGUAGUAAUUUUUUCUCGUCUGUAGUUGAGCCGGUCCCCUGCCGUAAAACACCCAAUUUAUCAAGGUUGACCUCGGAUCAGGUAGGAAUACCCGCUGAACUUAAGCAUAUCAAUAAGCGGAGGA